rnacentral:rRNA from 1 species
GACGAACGCUGGCGGCGUGCUUAACACAUGCAAGUCGAACGGAGUGGCGAACGGGUGAGUAACACGUGGGUGAUCUGCCUUGCACUUCGGGAUAAGCUUGGGAAACCGGGUCUAAUACCGGAUAGUGCAAGAUGAGCUCGCUGCCUAUGUGAUUGUUGGUGGGGUAAUGGCCUACCAAGGCGUCGACGGGUAGCCGGCCUGAGAGGGUGGACGGCCACAUUGGGCCGAAGAUACGGACCAGACUCCUACGGGAGGCAGCAGUCGGUAAUAUUGCACAAUCGGCGGAAGCCAGCUGCAGCGACGCCGCGUGGGGGAUGAAGGCCUGCGUGUUGUGAGCUCCUUUCGUCUGGGACGCGGUACCUGUAUAAGAAGCACCGGCUAACUACGUGCCAGCAGCCGCGGUAAUUC